UACGUAGGGGGCGAGCGUUGUCCGAAGUUACUGGGCGUAAAGCGCACGUAGGCGGCAUGGUAAGUUGCAUGUAAAAGGCGGCAGCUCAACUGCCGAGUGUGGUGCAAGACUGCCAGGCUUGAGGCAAGUAAAAGAAUGUGGAACUCCGAGUGUAGCGGUGGAAUGCGUAGAGAUUCGGAAGAACACCCAUGGCGAAGGCAGCAUUCUGGACUUGACCUGACGCUGAGGAGCGAAAGCCAGGGGAGCAAACAGG
rnacentral:rRNA from 1 species